GAUAUAUGGGUGAGGACACUGGUUUUGCCUUUGCAGUCUCUGUUGCUGGAGUCAGCUAAUUGGCUUCUUAACCAGUAUGUUUCUUGGAUCUAUUUUAUGUGCAGUGUGUUAGCGGCUUAGCGCGGGUAGUACGUGUUUCUAUAUGAAAUUUAACUUUCAUUGUAGAAAUCGUUUAAUGUUCUCGUGCUUUGAUGUAAGUGCAUCAUAGAAAUUGUUACGUGUGAAUAUCAAAUCAGUGAAAAUCCCAGAACACAAAGAGAAGUUACAUUGGAA
rnacentral:misc_RNA from 1 species